UACGGGGGGGGCAAGCGUUGCUCGGAAUUACUGGGCGUAAAGGGCUCGUAGGCGGCUCGUUAAGUCAGACGUGAAAGCCCUCGGCUUAACCGGGGAACGGCGUCUGAGACUGGCAAGCUUGAAUCCGGGAGAGGGAUGCGGAAUUCCAGGUGUAGCGGUGAAAUGCGUAGAUAUCUGGAGGAACACCGGUGGCGAAGGCGGCAUCCUGGACCGGUAUUGACGCUGAGGAGCGAAAGCCAGGGGAGCAAACGGG
rnacentral:rRNA from 1 species